CCUACGGGUGGCAGCAGUGGGGAAUUUUGCACAAUGGGGGAAACCCUGAUGCAGCGACGCCGCGUGAGUGAAGAAGUAUUUCGGUAUGUAAAGCUCUAUCAGCAGGGAAGAAAAUGACGGUACCUGGAUAGGAAGCACCGGCUAACUACGUGCCAGCAGCCGCGGUAAUACGUAGGGGGCAAGCGUUAUCCGGAUUUACUGGGUGGAAAGGGAGCGUAGACGGCAGGGCAAGUCUGAAGUUAAAUGCCGGGGCUUAACCCCGGAACUGCUUUGGAAACUGUGCAGCUAGAGUGCAGGAGAGGUAAGUGGAAUUCCGAGGGUAGCGGUGAAAUGCGUAGAUAGUAGGAGGAACACCAGUGGCGAAGGCGGCUUACUGGACUAUAACUGACGUUGAGGCUCGAAAGCGUGGGGAGCAAACAGGAUUAGAUACCCCGGUAGUC
rnacentral:rRNA from 1 species